AGGUCCCGCCUGCCCAGUGAAUUUUUCAACGGCCGCGGUAUUCUAACCGUGCAAAGGUAGCGUAAUCACUUGUCUUCUAAAUAAAGACUAGUAUGAACGGCUAAAUGAGAAUAAACCUGUCUCCUAUAACCAAUCAGUGAAACUGAUCUUCCAGUACAAAAGCUGGAAUCAAAACAUAAGACGAGAAGACCCCGUGGAGCUUAAAAUAAUAACUA
rnacentral:rRNA from 1 species